rnacentral:rRNA from 1 species
GACGAACGCUGGCGGCGUGCUUAACACAUGCAAGUCGAACGGAAAGGCCUCUUUCGGGGGGUACUCGAGUGGCGAACGGGUGAGUAACACGUGAGUAACCUGCCCUUGACUUUGGGAUAACUUCAGGAAACUGGGGCUAAUACCGGAUAGGAGCUCCUGCUGCAUGGUGGGGGUUGGAAAGUUUCGGCGGUUGGGGAUGGACUCGCGGCUUAUCAGCUUGUUGGUGGGGUAGUGGCUUACCAAGGCUUUGACGGGUAGCCGGCCUGAGAGGGUGACCGGCCACAUUGGGACUGAGAUACGGCCCAGACUCCUACGGGAGGCAGCAGUGGGGAAUAUUGCACAAUGGGUGGAAGCCUGAUGCAGCAACGCCGUGUGCGGGAUGACGGCCUUCGGGUUGUAAACCGCUUUCGCUCAGGACGAAGCUUUGUGUGACGGUAGUGGGUAAAGAAGCACCGGCUAACUACGUG